rnacentral:lncRNA from 1 species
UCUUAACAAGAGUCUUAUUCGAGUGCUGGGUACAGUGGCUCACACCCAUAAUCCCAGCACUUCUGGAGGCUGAAGCGAGUGAACACUUGAGUCCAGGAGUUCAAGACCAGCCUGGGUAACAUGGCAAAACCCCGUCUCUACAAAUAAUAUGAAAAUUAGCCAGGUGUGGUGGCGUGUGCCUAGUUUCAGCUACUCGGGAGGCUGAGGCAGGAGGAUCUCUUGAGAACAGGACGUCAAGGUUGCAGUGAUCACGCCACUGCACUCCAGCCUGGGUGACAUAGCAAGACCUUGUCUCAAAAAAAAAAAAGUCUCAUUUACAUUUCAAUGUUGCUCAUUCUACAGUUAUUGGUGUCCUACUUGGUGCCAGGCAGGGCACUGGGUGAGCACAGCGUAGGGAUCUUUGCACAUCUCAAGUGACAAACAUGCACUGAUACGAUCCGAAUUGCACCGUUAAUGAGCAACUGCUUCAACACUUACAAGGAAGAGCAGGAGGAGGACUGCAAAGGGCAGCCUUGUAAGGUUACACAGGUGGUGCACUGCACAAGGGGCAGCCUUGUAAGGUUACACAGGUGGGACACUGCACAGGGCAGACAUCUUAGCCUGUGUAUAGUAAAAGACCUGUGUUGUAACUAAUCAGUAUGUCACGGCUGCCUUCUGGCACAUGGAGCAAAGCAUCCUGAGGACGGGAGUGCCCCAUUUUAAUUCCCUCCUCAGGGCCAUGGGGGCCGGUAGGGCCCGAGCUGCAUUUGUUGAGUGGGAGGUUCCAGGUGACCUCAGACAAAGUCAUUCCCCUGGCGUGCGGGGCCAGAGUCCUCACGCAGCAGGUGGACUGUUCCUAGGAAGUGAGGGGGUGAGGCAGUCAUCAGGCAUCUGGGAAAGACUAGGAGGAAGGGAAGGGGUGCCCUGCAGUGGAGCAGAUGGGGGCCCAGGGAGGACCCAGGGCAGGGCGGGGGCAGGGAGGGUCCCCGUGGACCUAGUCCAGUGCAAGAGUCCCUCUGGUGCUGAGGCCAUGGCACUCAACCCUGGUCGAAUCAGGGAGGAAACGACUCUGCCAAGAGCCCGAGGUUUUUGGGGAAGGAAUCAGGGCCUCCCACUCCAGCGGGCCUCCCACUCCAGCGGGCCUCCCACUCCAGCGGGCCUCCCAGGCUGCCUUGGUGUUGCUCCCCCUGCCCUGGAUGUGUGUUCAUCCCCGCCUCCCACCCACUGGCCCCUUAGGGGCACCCCAGCUCCCUCCCACCCCAGUUCCCACCUCUGUACAAGGAGGGCCUAGGCCUGCCCAGGCGGCCCUUCCCAGGAUUCAGGCUCUCGCAGGGAAGGGGGAAGGGGAUGUGGAAGGACACGGGAGCCCUGCACGAGGGUCCUAAGGGAAGCACAGCGGUGCGGUGCCUUGUGAUGAUGGUUGUUAUUGGC